ensembl:lncRNA
CUGAUUUCCCCAACACUGAUACAUGAAGGAGAGACAGUGAGAACACCCACAAAGACUGAGAAGCUCAGCCACCAGUGGGAAAGAUGGCCUUAAUUCCCACACCAGUGUGUCAUGGUGUGUUUACCACACUAACCAGGCUGGCUGGAUAAGACAGAGCCUGGCUCUGGUGGGAUCAAGCGCUCUACGGAUGGAAAGGGAUUAGGGCCACAAGCAGCCAUGAGGUUGACAUCCACAAACAGACAUCCAGCUGAUCCCUGCCAUCCUGGGCACCUGAGGCAGUGCUGACCUGAGGAGACACUGGGCAGCCAUUCAGAGUAUGACUGGAGGCUCCAGCCUCUGCAGGAAGUGCUGAUCUGGGCUCUGGUGCGGUCUAUUGCCUGCUAAAAAUACACCUCUCCUCCGUCCACAGGUGCAGCCAUCAGGGGACCGGGCUGUUUUUAGCACUGAGGCAGGAGACAACUGACUUCUAGAUUCACAACCUGUCUGGCUGCUGGGAACGUGCUUCUAGGAGGACCACUCAUGGACAACAAACCAAUCAGAGGAGACACCAUAGCCUAUAGUUGAAAGCAGCCCUUGCCAGAUGUCCCAAGAUGCCCAGAGGAAGAGACGUUGGCCACUCAGACAGGAGGAGCUAUGACAGCAGCCCUGGGGAGGGUGUGAGGCAAAUCCACCUGAGAAAGGCAAGGAAACAGGAGCCAGGAAGUUUGAGCUCCACCCUGGAGAAGCAAGUCACAGCCAAGCCUGCAUGCCUUAUUAAAGCCACCUGUGCCCCCAGAACGUGGGGCCUCAGCCAGAGCCCCCAGCCUGCAGCCGUGUCCCUACGGUUAGUGUUUCUUCUUUACACGCCAAUUUGUUUGAGACAUGUUAAAAGGUUGUCUUUUAUAACCCUCAUAAAAUACCAUCGACUUCGCCCAGAUGCAGCCAAAAAAGCUGAGACCGUCUGACUCAUUUCAACCUGUGGGCCAGGAUGCAGAAAGAGCCACAGGAGUUCCCGCCAUUGUCAGAGAGCCAAGGACAUAACAAUGCAAAGGACCCCAUAGGGUAAGUAGCACCCACGAUGUCCUGCGUAGUGAGCCACCAAGGCACUGCCACAGAGAAAAAGCAAGGCAUGGGGGUGUCAGGACAAAGGUUCUCAAGGUUAAACCAACAAUGGGGGUGUUAGCUUGAGAGUCUGGAGUUCAGACGGCUCAUGGUUGUAUACCCAGCUCGGCUAUUUGCAGAGACGGAUAUUAAUCAGGGGCACAGGGGUCAUAGAAGAAAGGCUGGCCUGGACCACGUGUCUAGAAGGCAGGGGCUGGAGACUCAGGUCCUGGGGACCCUGUGUAGCCCACCCAGGCCAGAGUUGAACUGUGGAAGAGACAGUGACUCCCCAGGCUGGGGGAGUCUGACCCUGAAGUCCCUCACAUCUUUAGAUCGACACAGAAGUUCUUGAGUGGGGCCAGCCGUUUUCAUCUUCCUGGAAGGAGCCCAGGCAACAGGCUGAGGCCCAGACCAGCAGGGUUAGGUGUGCACUAGGAGUUAGGGGGAAGCCAAUUGUCUUAACUGAUGAAUGGUUCCCUGAAUCACACACCCAUGUACACACACACACACUUGUCCCUAAGCUCUGUCCCCUCCUCUGUAAAGAAGAAAAGUGGUCAGGUGCUGGCAUUGCCACCACUUUCCAUUUCCAUUACAACAAAGAAACAUAAGAGAAAUCACAUGAUACCACCCUCCUCCAGCGCUCAGUCCCUACUGGGAGACUGAGAACUGCCCUCUUUCCUGGAAUUUCUGGUGGGCACGCCCAUCUGCAGAGAGUCAAGUCUGAAGUGCAAGGGUGUGGUCCUACUGUUUUCUGAUGUAAAUCCCCAACUUCUAGAGCAUUCUCUAGAACCUCAGAGCAAACAGGGCACAGAUUCCAUUCUGCAUCCUUCCUGCCCAGACCGCCAUAGGACACUGCAGACCUGC